UACGGAGGGUGCGAGCGUUGUCCGGAAUCACUGGGCGUAAAGGGCGCGUAGGCGGCUUCUUAAGCGUGUGGUGAAAGCUCAGGGCUCAACUCUGAGUCGGCCAUGCGAACUGGGAGGCUUGAGCACUGUAGAGGCAGGUGGAAUUCCGGGUGUAGCGGUGGAAUGCGUAGAGAUCCGGAAGAACACCGGUGGCGAAGGCGGCGCUCUGGACCGAGACUGACGCUGAGGCGCGAAAGCGUGGGGAGCAAACAGG
rnacentral:rRNA from 1 species